rnacentral:lncRNA from 1 species
AUGUUCCCAUGGAUGCAGGGGAAAUUAAGGCAAGGGGGCCAGGUGUGGCUUCUCUGUUUUGAUAAUCUCUUCAUUGAUUUUCCAAACCACGCUAGGAGAACAACACGUCUACCACGUUUCCCGGAACAGCUGUGCUGGGCCCGGGUUCGGGUGCGGUGCUGCCAGGCAAAGCUAAAACACGCGUUCCGCUCCCGCUUUCAGGACAACUCUGUGACCUAUUCCGCCCUAGGUGGCACUUCUGGCAGGCCCAGGUCUGAAGGCUUCCACAGGAGAGCAGGGCCGUGUGUGAUGCUGAAAGGGGCCCCUGGCGCUGUAGGGCAGGUGCCACUGGUCCAAGGAAGCCAGUUUGAGAAUCGCGAGGCACACACGGGGACGGGAGCUUCUUGCCCUAGAUCGCGAGCCAUUGCACCCGGCAAGUGGAUGGCGGAGUGCCGGAGAGAUCCGCGGGUGCACUUUGGCCCACCCCAAAAGCCCAGGAACUGGAAUUUUCUGGCAGUUUGUGCCGGAAGGGACCACCGGAAGCCACCACAAGACCCUCCUCUUCAUAACAGCUCCAGUGCACAGGACCAAGGGUUGACCUGA